CCCCCCCGGCGUGCCGACGUGACCUCAGCGCGACAGCCCCGCCGCGCCGCCAUGAUGAGGAGGUGAGUUCACAGCAGGGAAACGUAGAAGUUUUCUCUCGGAUCAUUCAUAGCUCAUUGAGGACUCCACCCAGCAUCAGUUCUUAGCUUUCAAUCUCUGCCAGUCAUAAGGUCAGUCGUCUUUCCUCGUUGUUUGUAUUGGACGUAAACAUCUCCAUUACUUUACGUCUGUACCGAAUGUUAAGCUCUCCUCCGCCUAGGUUUUGGGAUCAUGGCCUCCAGACUAGCCCAUAUACACACAUCACAAACUGGUUGCUUUCUCCCAUCCAUUACCCAUUUGUCCACCCAUAUAUCUACAUACUCAAUCUGUCAACCUCUCAACAACACAAUAAACAAAUCACCUCUCUAAACACUCAUCUAUCCAAAAAUCCACUUAAUCUACCCACUCAUAUCCCAUGUACUAGUCCAUUGCUUCUCUAUCCACAGUCAAGGGAUUCAACAGUCCUACCAACAUCCAUCCAUCCAUACAGUCAUCCAUUAGUUGCAUAUUUGUCAUCACCAAAUGGUGACAGGAGUUCAUGUCUGUCUACUUUAUUAUCUUCCCACGGCUCAUUUGGGAGUCCCAAAAGACCUCAAUAAAUGUGAGGUGUGUGUG